AGGUGGGAGGCUUUGAAGCGUGGACGCCAGUCUGCGUGGAGCCAACCUUGAAAUACCACCCUUUAAUGUUUGAUGUUCUAACGUUGGCCCCUUACCGGGUUGCGGACAGUGUCUGGUGGGUAGUUUGACUGGGGCGGUCUCCUCCCAAAGCGUAACGGAGGAGCACGAAGGUUAGCUAAUCCUGGUCGGACAUCAGGAGGUUAGUGCAAUGGCAUAAGCUAGCUUGACUGCGAGCGUGACGGCGCGAGCAGGUGCGAAAGCAGGUCAUAGUGAUCCGGUGGUUCUGAAUGGAAGGGCCAUCGCUCAACGGAUAAAAGGUACUCCGGGGAUAACAGGCUGAUACCGCCCAAGAGUUCAUAUCGACGGCG
rnacentral:rRNA from 1 species